rnacentral:lncRNA from 1 species
CCUGCUUCCAGUUUUUUAGGGUCUACUUGGCUUCUGCUUGAUUCUUAGCUGAACUUCUCCCAGAGGGCCCAGGAGAAGAUUCUCACAACGUCCCCUGUUGUGACCCCAGGAUCCCUGAACUUGCCCCAGGAAGAAACUCGAGGAUGCCACAGGCAGGGAGCAUGGAGGCCUCACUCAGGGGCUGUUUUGGCACCUUGGCCUUAAAGUCUCCGAGAGCUGGGAGUCCCAAGAGAAGACAGUGGGAGCCCAGGGGCCCUGCUUCUCACACAGCCCCUUCUGCUGUCCUCCUGCUGCCUCUAUGUUCCUUUUCAUUUUGUCAAAUAUUGUGGAGGGGGCCCAAGGAGAUCAAGGAGGGAGCCUCAUCUCCUGGUGAGGGAGAGAGCUGAAAUGGGCACAGCAAGACUCUCCAGCCUCACCCAGAAAGUUUCCUGUGGCAGGGGACAGAUUUGGAGAUGCCAGAGACCCCCAUGAAGGCAUCCCUUGCAGUGCAUCCACUUUCCUGUCCCGGACUCUGUGAUUCCAGUGCCAGACAGGCUCACUUCUCCUGGAGAACCCCACCUGGCCACCCCACCUGGAGCGCUCACUGAGAACCCCCACUGGCUCAGGACACAAGGUAGCUGGGGGUGGGGCAGGGAUCAUUGGCUCGAAGACCUGUCACAUGCUUGACAUGGCAUCUACAGUCCCUCAAGGGCCCCCAGGGUCUGUAGAGACCUCCAUCUUGGAGUCAAAGUCAUCCAUGGAGGGAUGAUGGCCAGAGAUGGGAGCCCAGCAGCUCUGCACCUGUCCAUGGGUGGGGCCUCUGAUCAGAGCCCUGUGGAGUCUGGCAGAUGAUCCGUGGCUGUGUCAUGGAGUGCAUCCUGGAAACUGUUCUGCAUAUGUUACAUGAACAUAUCAACAAUUGCUGCAGUUGGAGCAACCGGUGGUGCUUCCCCCAAGUACCUAUAGGCAGCAUAAUGAUAAGUUGACAACUUUGGGGGACUACAAAUGAACUCUUGAGAGAGAAAGAAAAAUACUGACAAUUAAAGGCACCUCCGAGGGGUGUCAGAGUCAGAUGCAUAAUUGAAAGGAAAUGGUCCAUAUCCUUAUGGCCCCAGUUAAUCUUCUGUGCAGAACCUGACCUAUAUGAAGAGGCCUGAGCUGAGCUGCCGUGGAGGGGAGAGGCAGGGCUAGGUAUGGGACUUUCGUUCCCACUUCCAGGCUGGAGAGGGUGUCCCAUAGGUAAGGACUCCUGAGUGAGCCAGAGCCUUCCAUUCUGUGAGAGCCUCACCCAGCUAGGUGGCUCUGCAGAAGGACCAUGGGUGACUGCAGGGUGGGGUGAGGUAAUACCUGUUGGCCCGACAGUGCCACCUCUGGUGGGAGGCCAGUAAGACUGCCUCCACACUUGGGGAUGAGUGCACAUUUGCACUGUUUAAGGACAGGCUUCCCCAAGCUCCUUGAACACUGUUUAUGCCCUGUGUCUCCCAAAUCAAACUGCUCUCCUUGGAAGAAACAGCCACAGCUAAGCAGUGCUCAGGGGAAAAGAUGUCUGAGGUUGCAGUGGUUGGCUGGGCCCUUUGUGUAGUUGGUGCUCCAGGGUUUCCCGAGAUACAAAUACAUUGAGAGCCAACAUUUUAAACAUCUAGAUAAAAAUCCACUCACUCUCUUCAAUAGCAAGAGAGGAGCAAGCAUCCAAGAUGCUCUGCUCUUG